CUCUCCCUCAGUUUCCCUGUGUAGACGGUUGAUAGAUUGGCACAUGAUGCCUCUCCUUCAGUAGUUUCCCUGUGUAGACCGUUGAUAGAUUGGCACAUGAUGCCUCUCCCUCAGUUUCCCUGUGUAGACGGUUGAUAGAUUGGCACAUGAUGCCUCUCCUUCAGUUUCCCUGUGUAGACGGUUGAUAGAUUGGCACAUGAUGCCUCUCCUUCAGUUUCCCUGUGUAGACGGUUGAUAGAUUGGCACACGAUGCAAAAAUAUAAAUGUAAAAUGUAAAGUGAUGGUCUCAUGGUUCAUGAGCUGAAAUAAAAAAUCCUACAAAAGCUGAUAUCUCAAAAAUAUUGUGCACAAAUUUGUUUACAUCCCUAUUAGUGAGCAUUUCUCCAUUUCGCCAAGAUAAACCAUCCAUCUGACAUGUGGCAUAUCAAGAAGCUGAUUAAACAGCAGUGGUGGAAAACGUAUCCAAUUGUCAUACUUGAGUAAAAGUAUAGAUACCUUAUUAGAAAGUUACUCAAGUGAAAGUGAAAGUCACCCAGUAAAGUACUACUUUAGUAAAAGUCUAAAAGUAUUUGGCUUUAAAUAUAAUUAAGUAUCAAAAGUAAACAUAUUUGCUGAUAAAAAGUCUAAAAAGUAAAAGUAUAAAUCAUUCAAAAGUUAUAUUAUUUAGCAAAUCAGACAGAACAAUUGUCUUGUUUUUUGAAUUUUCCGAUAGCCAGGGUCACACUGUAUCACCACAGAAACUGUGGUGAUACAGUCACUUAUAACUCCUCCUGUUUUCUAAACUGAAUUUACUGAAGCAGGAAGAAGAAAAGCGAAACAUUUUUUACAGAACCAGAAGGCAAGACCACAGACUAAAAUGUAUCCAUUCAGCCUGUUGUUUGUUUUUUUGGUGCUCCCGUAUCAAGCUUGCUUAGCGUGCUCUCCCAUCGAGAAAAUGGACAGGUGUGAAGAUUUGUGGACGGGAAUUGGAUAUGUGUACCCAUAUGAAACUCCGGCUGGAUCUGAAAUUGAGGUGGACUCAAACAAUACUCCAAUAGCCUACCGUGGCAUGAACAAGCCUUUUGAGGCACAUCUCUCUGAUAAGGUGAUAAAUGUGAGCAACAGUGCUGUCAUCCUCUCUGAAUGCCUAAAUCUAACAUUCAAAUUCUUUCAUGUUCUCCAGGGCAAGGUUGAGGAGUGCCAUUUGUAUUACAUUGUUGCAGAGAGGGAGCAUGUGGCUAUGAUAACUAUCAAUCUGACUGACAAUCUGACUGACACCUCGGACAACACAUCAGGAAAUGGAGACAAAGCCACUAGCCACACAAAGGAAAUCACUGCUGGUGUUCUGGUUAUCUUAGUUCUGCUGCUGGGCAUUGUUGGUUUCUUAGUGUACAGAUAUGUCAACAUUCCUUGGAGAGACAAACAUUCGUUUGCUCUUGCACAGCUAACUCAGAUGGGUCGGGACUACCUUAACACCAACAGGGAAAACCAGAGGGACAACGGAGAACCUGAUGAUCCAGCUGCUGGGGACGCUGAGUCUCUCCGAUCUGCGCUUGUCAUUGGCAGGGACCAGGGGGAUGGGGUGGAAGAGGAGAGGGAGCCACCACACAGUCAGGAGUCCUCUCUGCUGAAUGGGCAUCUUGUGAACAGACAAGGAGAGAGAGGUGAGCCAAGCAAGAUGUUCGUUCAGCCAAUGGGCCGUGAGGGAACAGAUACUGAAUUCUCUCAGAAGAGACAUGCUGGAUUUCCUCUGGUGAAUGGAAACCAUAAGGCCAGGGUUAACGAUGAGACUAAGGAAGCGACUCCUGGUGCACAGAGUCCAGGACCUCCUCAGAUGAAUGGAGGACCUCCCAUGUCUGACAGGUUGGAGAACAACCCUGUUGGUCAGCGCAUGAAGAAAACUGCUCUGGUGAACAAGCAGGACCAGGACUGGUCAGCAACGGCAUGUAGCCAGUUGAAAAUAUAUAGUAUAUAAGAUGAAACUAAGUGUAAAUAUAAUAAAAAAUAACAUGAUAUACACUGUAAUAUAGAACAGUAUAAUAUGACAUUAUAUAAUAUCGUAACACUUACUUGAAGCUGCUUCUUGUAUAGUGCUAUAUGUUCUAAUGAAUGCAUUCUUAACAACAUGAAUGAUGCAUUAAUGCAUACAUAGGACAUAACUGUAUAGUAAAAUGCUAGUAUAAUACUGUGCUGGUAAGCUGCUAGCUGUGGGGUUGCCCCCAGCUGUGGUUUCUAUCAUUCAGAGUAUCUAUGCUCAACUGUGGUUCAAAUCCAUAGUUUUUAGCUUAGUUGUUACCGUAAACUAGCACUUCUUAGAGACAAAGUUAUGGGAAAUGCUGUAUAACUACUUACCAUUCUGAAGUGUAACAGUCAAGUUUAUAUGUAACAAUUGUUAAUCCCUUUUUUAAAUGUUUAUUUAUAUAUUUGUUUGCUUGAUUAGAUUGAAUUUGUAUGACUAAUGCAUUAUUUGACCCUCCCGUUUAGAGGGAUAUUAUUUUACCCUCCCGUUUAGAGGGAUAUUAUUUUACCCUCCCGUAUAGAGGGAUAUUAUUUUACCCUCCCGUUUAGAGGGAUAUUAUUUUACCCUCCCAUACAGAGGGAUAUUAUUUUACCCUCCCGUUUAGAGGGAUAUUAUUUUACCCUCCCGUAUAGAGGGAUAUUAUUUUACCCUCCCGUAUAGAGGGAUAUUAUUUUACCCUCCCGUAUAGAGGGA
rnacentral:lncRNA from 13 species